rnacentral:rRNA from 1 species
GCGAAGUAAGGUCAGGCGACUGGGGGAAUAGGUAGGGGGGAAGCGUGUGACGGAGUUAUGGGGCGUAAAUCGAGCGCAGGCGGUUUCUUAAGUCUGAGGUGAAAGCCCACGGGUCAACCGUGGAAGGUCAUGGGAAACUGGGGAACUUGAGUGCAGAAGAGGAGAGUGGAAUUCCAUGUGUAGCGGUGAAAUGCGUAGAUAUAUGGAGGAACACCAGUGGCGAAGGCGACUCUCUGGUCUGUAACUGACGCUGAGGCUCGAAAGCGUGGGGAGCAAACAGGAUUAGAUACCCUAGUAGUC